rnacentral:rRNA from 1 species
GACGAACGCUGGCGGCGUGCUUAACACAUGCAAGUCGAGCGGUAAGGCCCUUUCGGGGGUACACGAGCGGCGAACGGGUGAGUAACACGUGGGUGACCUGCCCUCAGCUCUGGGAUAAGCCUGGGAAACCGGGUCUAAUACCGGAUAUGACUCCAUGACGCAUGUUGUGGGGUGGAAAGCCUUGUGCGGCUGAGGGUGGGCCCGCGGCCUAUCAGCUUGUUGGUGGGGUGANGGCCUACCAAGGCGACGACGGGUAGCCGGCCUGAGAGGGCGACCGGCCACACUGGGACUGAGACACGGCCCAGACUCCUACGGGAGGCAGCAGUGGGGAAUCUUGCGCAAUGGACGAAAGUCUGACGCAGCGACGCCGCGUGUGGGAUGACGGUCUUCGGAUUGUAAACCACU